rnacentral:rRNA from 1 species
UCUGAUGUUAGCGGCGGACGGGUGAGUAACACGUGGAUAACCUACCUAUAAGACUGGGAUAACUUCGGGAAACCGGAGCUAAUACCGGAUAAUAUUUUGAACCGCAUGGUUCAAAAGUGAAAGACGGUCUUGCUGUCACUUAUAGAUGGAUCCGCGCUGCAUUAGCUAGUUGGUAAGGUAACGGCUUACCAAGGCAACGAUGCAUAGCCGACCUGAGAGGGUGAUCGGCCACACUGGAACUGAGACACGGUCCAGACUCCUACGGGAGGCAGCAGUAGGGAAUCUUCCGCAAUGGGCGAAAGCCUGACGGAGCAACGCCGCGUGAGUGAUGAAGGUCUUCGGAUCGUAAAACUCUGUUAUUAGGGAAGAACAUAUGUGUAAGUAACUGUGCACAUCUUGACGGUACCUAAUCAGAAAGCCACGGCUAACUACGUGCCAGCAGCCGCGGUAAUACGUAGGUGGCAAGCGUUAUCCGGAAUUAUUGGGCGUAAAGCGCGCGUAGGCGGUUUUUUAAGUCUGAUGUGAAAGCCCACGGCUCAACCGUGGAGGGUCAUUGGAAACUGGAAAACUUGAGUGCAGAAGAGGAAAGUGGAAUUCCAUGUGUAGCGGUGAAAUGCGCAGAGAUAUGGAGGAACACCAGUGGCGAAGGCGACUUUCUGGUCUGUAACUGACGCUGAUGUGCGAAAGCGUGGGGAUCAAACAGGAUUAGAUACCCUGGUAGUCCACGCCGUAAACGAUGAGUGCUAAGUGUUAGGGGGUUUCCGCCCCUUAGUGCUGCAGCUAACGCAUUAAGCACUCCGCCUGGGGAGUACGACCGCAAGGUUGAAACUCAAAGGAAUUGACGGC